GACGAUUAUUUACAAUUCCAGCCACCUACUCGGUCCGGGCGGUGCGGUGGUUGAAUUUUUGUCGACCGACAGGCGGCGCUGGUUCAGUUCGCUAUGGCCUCGGUGGCUUUUAUCGGUGAGGGCCUCUCGCGUUCGCUCGUAAAAUACCUCGAAGGGCGAGCGCGUAGUGUUAAAGAGGCGCUCGAAGGACCGUUUACCUAAUAAUAGCAAUAAUAUGUAAAUGCGAUGCGUAUCAAGUCGCCAUCUAAAGAAUCCACUCCGCUACGGGCCUAUUGUUUGCAAAUCUUCGUUUCAGCCGUGCUGCUCUCUGCUGGAUUGCUGCAGAGCUCUCGAUACACCUAUCUCCAUCUCUUUUUGCACCAUCGUUUUACCUGCGAUCUGUCCUUCUCCCGAUACCGGACGCGCAAAUAAUCGAAGUAUUCUGCUGUUUGCAUUCGAAGAAUCGAGGAGUCCAGGACGAUGGAAAACGAGCAUAUGCCACGAUAUCAUAAAUUUACAGGAAGCUUCGCAACAAAUUAUUUCUUGAAAAUGUUUGAUACUAAACUCAUUUGUACUUUGUUUUGAACGGCUCGAAUCAGUUUGAAAUAUUAAUAUCGCUACGUAAAUAUUUUGGAGUAAUGGCGUGCGAUUUAGGUUAGUCAAGAUACACGAAUUGAAUUCAAAUAACUUGAAACUUUCCAUAGUGCCAACUAUAACAACGACAUUAGAAAAGUAAAAAGAACUACUACUUGUAAAGAGAGUACUAGAGUACUAUCGCAUAUUCAAUUUUCGAGGUGGUCAUAUAACUCUAUCGAGAAUGUAACACAUGCUUGUAUUUAUGGAUGCAAAGUUCGGUUCAGCGUAAACCGCUUUAAGAGGUUACAUCGACGCGGUACAAUUAUAAUUUGAUUCAAUCUUGUCAUGCUCGAGAUUUUUCAAGCUUCGAACGUCAUUAUAUAUUCACGUCGUUACAUUCGGGACCGAUGUAACACUGUAAUACAACGUGGAACUUUUCGAAGUACGCCCUGAAUGGAUUAAUGAACCGAGUGACAUGGGAUCUGAUUGGGGCAACACUUAAGGAAUCCGUCCAGUCAUCUUUACCUUCGUUUGUCGCCCUGAACGAGCAUAACGCGCUAUCCUGACCUUUCUCCUCCUUUUUUUAUUCUUCCUUAUGUCAUUUCUCUUUCUCCUUCUUCGGUUACUUUUUCAUAUUGUUGCUCUAAAUCGCUUUUCCACCACAUCGAGAGACUCACUUUUCGUUUCGUGACUCACAUUGCUGACUAUAAGCAUUAGGAUAUCUUAUCCAUCCUACUAUACUGUAAUAAAAUAAUCAGAAAAUAAAAUCAAUGGGAAAUGUUUAAUUUGUACGAAAUAUCAAAAGAUGUCUUAAAUGUUUUGAUGUAUUGAUAUAUAUAUUUAUGGUUGGCGUUAUCUAUAACUUGCCACUGCAAUUGCCAAAAUUUUGGAUUCCUCUAUUUUCUAUCGCACUAUUGCGUUACUGUUAUCGAAGAUUGUAUUAUAAGCGACGUCUAAUUAACAAGUAACUACCAUCAACUGUGGUUUGUAAUAAUUACAACACAUCUAAUGAAUAAAAUUAUAA